GGCUGGUUCUUGGGUGACAUACCCCGGAAUCGGGCUCCUCCUCUCUGGUUCCAGGUGCAUCACCCAAGAACCGCC
rfam:Myotis davidii contig63590, whole genome shotgun sequence.